UCUGCAUGGCCAUGGGUGUAGGAAGAUCGGUAUUUUUGGGGGGCUCAUAAAGCAAUCAAUUUCAAAAGAAGUAAAUGAUGCAGAACACGAAUAUAUGAAUAUGAGCCCCCCAAAAUAUCGAUCUUCCUACGCCCAUGGCCAUGCAGA